GGGCUUUAGCUCAGUCUGGGAGAGCGUUUCGCAGGCAGCGAAGAGGUCAGCGGUUCGAUCCCGCUAAGGUCCACCA
rnacentral:tRNA from 1 species